GUGCUGCUCACUUUCCCGAGAGCACCCGUUCGUGGCAGAGCGAAGUCCACGUUCACAGCUAUUGCAGUGAGUGGGCGAAGUCUCUGCAAGUCGAAUACGUUGUUGGUGUCGUGGUUAUAAGGAUAUUUCAACGUGUCUGCAUAUAUAAGUCACUGUUGCGGUAGAGAUCUGUCCGGGAUGAGGGUCCUCUUCGCAGCGCUCCUGACGACGGCGGCGGCGCUCGUCGUGGCCGACGAGCACUUCCAGGACGAGCUCCCUCCGGGCGACGGCCGCGACCCCCGCCAGGUCGAGUUCAGCAUCUCCUUCGACGACGACGAGUCCGGCCGCGGCUUCGGCGACUCCCCGGAGGCCG